UACGGAGGGUGCAAGCGUUAUCCGGAUUCACUGGGUUUAAAGAGCUCGUAGGUGGUUCGGUAAGUCGGGUGUUAAACCCCCAGGCUCAACCUGGGGACGCCACUCGAUAUUGCUGUGACUAGAGUCCGGUAGGGGAGCGUGGAAUUCCUGGUGUAGCGGUGAAAUGCGCAGAUAUCAGGAGGAACACCAGCGGCGAAGGCGGCGCUCUGGGCCGGUACUGACACUGAGGAGCGAAAGCAUGGGGAGCGAACAGG
rnacentral:rRNA from 1 species